rnacentral:rRNA from 1 species
UACGAAGGGUGCUAGCGUUGUUCGGAAUUACUGGGCGUAAAGCGCGCGUAGGCGGCUUCUCAAGUCAGGGGUGAAAUCCUCCAGCUCAACUGGAGAACUGCCUCGGAUACUGGGUGCCUCGAGUGUGGUAGGGGUGUGCGGAACUAUCGGUGGAGCGGUGAAAUGCGUUGAUAUCGAUAGGAACUCCGGUGGCGAAGGCGGCACACUGGACCACAACUGACGCUGAGGCGCGAAAGCCAGGGGAGCAAACGGG